rnacentral:lncRNA from 1 species
CAAAACCCUAUUGCUGAAGACACACACACUUGAAUCAAAGAACACGGACAAAUCAAGCCUGAAUUCACCAGGAAGUUCCAUCUCUACCUGCCAGCUUUCAUAGUGCCGGAAGGUGUGGUACAUGCUGGUAGGAGGAAAGUAAUUAUCCGUCUUACCCAACCGUGAACCCUGAGAACUACAGUAGUGAGACUGGCUGGUGCAGCAGUGGGAUGCCUGUUAUGGAAGCAACCAGCCGUGUUGACUGAAUUUAAGUUUCCAUUCACAAGAUAAAACCAUACCUGGAACUGUUACUGGGGCCAAGAACCCAUGGCCAUUAAGGUCUUAGGUCCUAGGGGGGACCCUAAAUUCUGCUAAAUGUAUGCAGUCUUAAACUGACUCCUGAUGACUUUAUAGUGACAGCCACAGAUUUGUGCGUCUCAGAACCCUCGUCAGAGAAGCCUCUUUCCUUCGUAGAUGGUGAUUAACACAGAGAUCAUUCUGACUGAGUAGAUCUGGGGCUCAGAUGGAAACAUGUUUCUAAGUGAUUUGAGUAAGCAGUUUGAGGCUGAGAAGCACUGCUCUGAAGACUGACUUGGUAGACUGAGGUGAUCUGGGUACUCUGUACUUAGAAACAUAUGCUCCAGAGAAUGUCAUGUACAGAUGUGCCUAGAAUUCCCUGUCUUCUUUCUGACUACAGUAAAGGAUUCUUCCAAGGCAGUGCCAGCAUCACAGGUCCUGUCUGGUGUGGAGUACAAGUUUCCUUGUUGGUGCCUUGGUUUCCCAGUCUGACCAGGGAAGCAAGUAUUGUACCCUGGGAUAAGCGAGCGGGUUGUAUAUUUACUCCCACUAUGCACCCUUCACUGUGUUGGCCCUUGCACACUGGCUAUAGGAAUUUUUCUACAGAGUCCCCUUGCCCUCUAGUGUCCACCAGGCAGUGGGAGCCCCAGCAAGAUUGGCCUGCUUGAGGAAAGUGAAGGGGUAUUGAUGUUCCUUCCUCUGGCCCGCUGGCUUACUGUAGGGUCCCUCACCUCCUCUGCCUCAGAGUGGCAGUGCCUCCCUGUUUCUGCCAGCUUCAAGGUCCCCUGCCGUUUCCAUUGCUUUCUCUCAAUUCGGCCCUCCCCUGUGUGCCAUACUCCUCUUUCCAGUUCCCCCAGAGCCUCUCCCUAGUUUUCAGGAUAGAGAUGGAACCCAGGCCUCAGCUGUGCUAGGCCUACACCGCAACUGAGCUAUAGUCGCAGCUAGAGUCCCAGCCUUUGAUUACUUUCUGUUUGCUGCUGUAUAAUGACUGCUACCGAGAAUGUCUCAACACAGCCAGACACAGUGAAGCUGGCUCCUAGUUCUAGCACUUCUGAGGUGGAGGCUGGAAGACCAUGAGUUCAAGACCAGCCUGAGCCACAUAGCCCCAGGUCUUGUUUUAUGGUUACGGUUUUACCAGUCUCUCCCACCCCCACCACUAAACACCUCUUUCCCUCCCUCUCUUCUCUUUUUGCUGACUGCCCACCGUGUGUGUGUGUGUGUGUGUGUGUGUGUGUGUGUGUGUGUGUGUCUUCCCUGUUAUAAUCCAAUAUCUGUGAAUUUCUUUGUCCAGAGACCUGCAGACCUAACCCCUGAAGAGAUUGAAAACCUUCCCUAUAAACCACUAUAUCCCCCAAAUAGGAGGGAGGUUGAUAUAGUCGACCAUUUUUCAACCUUCUCUGUCUCUUGUGAUAAGAGACCUGGCUGUAGGCAGAGUUUUCCUUUCCCAGGAGCCGCUUCCAAAUUUUCACACAGAGGCUCAUAUUAACUGCAAAUGCUCAGGCUUAUUACUAACUAGCUCUCAUAUUUUAAGUUAACCCAUAUCCCUUAUUUACCCUCUGCCAUGUGGCAAUACCUUUAUUAGCAUGGCAUGUUCAUCUCCCUCUGCAUCUGCCUGGCGGCUCCUCAGUCUCCACUCCUCUCCUUCCCUCCAUCUUUAGUUUGGCCUAAACUUCCUGCCUGGCUACUGAUCAAUCAGAGUUUUAUUAUCAUUUUAUUAUAUCAAUUUGAGUGACAAAUCUUUAUAGUAUACAAGAGGAUUAUUCCACAGCACCUGGCGGAGUUACAUCAGUGUGAAGCUUGUGUCUGUAUUGUGGGUAUUCAUGUCAUAGCCCUGGCACAGAGUACCUACCUUCCUUUCUUUCUUUCUUUCUUUCUUUCUUUCUUUCUUUCUUUCUUUCUUUCUGAGACAGGGUCUUUCUACUUGGCCUGGCUAUCCUGAAAUUCACUAUGUAGAACUCACAGGGAUCUGCUUGCCUCUUCCUUCUGAGUACUGGGAUUAAAGGUUUAGCAGAAUAAGUUUGAUGAAAAUCUAUUGGAUAGGUUCUUUUUUUUAAUUAAUUAACUAGUUAAUUACUUUUUAUUUUGUUAUUAUUUGUGGUGUGUGUGUGUGUGUGUGUGUGUGUGUGUCUGGUAUAUGCCACAUGUAUCCAGGUGCUCUAGGGGUGUGUGUGUGUGUGUGUGUGUGUGUGUGUGUGUGCGCGCGCGCGCGCGCGCAUACAGGUAUGGCAGGCCGUGGCACAUUUGUACUACAGUGCAUCUCUGGGGGUCAGAGGAAAACUAGGUGGUCAGGCUUCUACUUUUGCCCACUGCACCAUCUUGCUGGUGUUAAUUCUACCAGUAGAGAAUAAGACCACUACCACAGUUUAAAGCCAUAUUUGAAGCAAACUUUAAUUAAAUACUGGCCAGGCGGAUGGACUCUGGCCAGGUCCAUCUCUGAGUUUCCUGAAAAUGACCCGGAAUCAGGGUUUACAUUGGCUUCAGUAUUUCCUAUUAGGUCCAAUUAAGGGCAAGUAUAUAUCCUGACUUAUCUUCAGCCUACAUCCAAUCAGGUGCAAGCAAACAUCCUAUGUGUUUCCUGCCUGCAUACCUCUUGCCCACAUGUGAUCAAGCACAACCAUAUAUAUGGGUCAAACAAACUUGCUUAGGGCAGUGAAAAUAUGAGGCUUGUUAUCUCCCAUAAACUACAGCCUCCAGCAUUUCAGGAACUAUCUAUCUGUCCUUGGGCAAGGGACUUGCAGAUCAGAGACAUUUUUGUUUUAUGGAUCUCUAAGGCAUAGUAUUUAAAACCUAAGAUGUAACUUCGGCUCUCACACAGCUCUUGUACAAUUUUUAAAAUCACUUAGCGCCCCCUCACCCCCUUUAUUUUGAGACAGGGCCUUGCUAAGCAUCCUAGGUUGGCCUUGUUCUUACUUAGCCCAGGUCGCCCUUGACCUUGUGACUCUCCUUCUAAACCUCCAAAGUAGCUGGCAGAACCACAGCAUCAGCCUCAAUCAGGCCUAGCCGUUGGGUAAAUUUAUUCACCACUCUAGAGAUGUUUCUCAAGUGCCUGUUAUGUUCCAGGCACUGUUCCAGACUAUCGAAAGGCAGAAGUUACUAAUAAAAACAAAUGUGCAAAAUGCUGCGAGACUAUU